CGCUGGCGGCAGGCCUAACACAUGCAAGUCGAGCGGAUGAAGGGAGCUUGCUCCUGGAUUCAGCGGCGGACGGGUGAGUAAUGCCUAGGAAUCUGCCUGGUAGUGGGGGAUAACGUCCGGAAACGGGCGCUAAUACCGCAUACGUCCUGAGGGAGAAAGUGGGGGAUCUUCGGACCUCACGCUAUCAGAUGAGCCUAGGUCGGAUUAGCUAGUUGGUGGGGUAAAGGCCUACCAAGGCGACGAUCCGUAACUGGUCUGAGAGGAUGAUCAGUCACACUGGAACUGAGACACGGUCCAGACUCCUACGGGAGGCAGCAGUGGGGAAUAUUGGACAAUGGGCGAAAGCCUGAUCCAGCCAUGCCGCGUGUGUGAAGAAGGUCUUCGGAUUGUAAAGCACUUUAAGUUGGGAGGAAGGGCAGUAAGUUAAUACCUUGCUGUUUUGACGUUACCAACAGAAUAAGCACCGGCUAACUUCGUGCCAGCAGCCGCGGUAAUACGAAGGGUGCAAGCGUUAAUCGGAAUUACUGGGCGUAAAGCGCGCGUAGGUGGUUCAGCAAGUUGG
rnacentral:rRNA from 1 species